AAGUCGUAACAAGGUUUCCGUAGGUGAACCUGCGGAAGGAUCAUUAGAAAAGCGUUGCUUGGCUAGCGAGACGAGUCUAUUUUUCCUUUAUGGAACGAUACACUGGUCCCAGGCUAAGUAACAUCACUUUCUACCAACCUGUGAACAUGUAACAAACAUUUAUUCACCAAUUGACUGUUAACGAAGUCUGAUUCAAAUUACAUUGGUGUUAAUAGACACUAGUAAAAUAUGAAACAACUUUUGGCAACGGAUCUCUUGGCUCUC
rnacentral:misc_RNA from 1 species